GACAGUCUCCUCUGCUGAAGUCCAGGCUUCAUGGGAGACUGCCAAGGCUGUUUAUGUGGCAGCAGCACCAGCUCCUGUGAUGCAGAGCAUGUGCAACACAGAUGCAGCCUUCGGUGGUGCAGCUGCAAUACCUGCAACCUUAGAUGGAGCAGCUGGUACAGUCGGACCUGCAUCCCCUGAGGCAGCUGCUAAAGAGCCCGCUGAGGUGGAGCCAUAUCAGCUGCUAAACUUCCUAGAAUGUGAAAUGAUGGAUUUCUACGACGGUUGAUGUCAAGGUGACGUGGAAAGCCUGGGGUGACAACAAGUGAACCAGGACAUAAGGUCAAGCAUUGC